rnacentral:rRNA from 1 species
UACAGGAGGUGCGAGCGUUGUUCGGAAUUAUUGGGCGUAAAGGGCGCGUAGGCGGUGCGGUAAGUCACCUGUGAAAUCUCCUGGCUCAACUGGGAGCUUGCAGGCGAAACUGCCGUGCUGGAGUGUGGGAGAGGUGCGUGGAAUUCCCGGUGUAGCGGUGAAAUGCGUAGAUAUCGAGAGGAACACCUGCGGCGAAGGCGGGUUGCUGGGCUGACACUGACGCUGGAACUGACGAAAGCUAGGGAGCGAACGGG